rnacentral:tRNA from 1 species
GCUUGGUUGGCUUAGCCGGUUAAGCAUCUGACUUCAGCUCAGGUCAUGAUAUCGUGGUUCGUGAGUUCGAGUCCCACAUCGGGUA